CCUACGGGUGGCAGCAGUGGGGGAUAUUGCACAAUGGGGGAAACCCUGAUGCAGCGACGCCGCGUGGGCGAAGAAGUAUUUCGGUAUGUAAAGCCCUAUCAGCAGGGAAGAAGAAAUGACGGUAUAUGAGUAAGAAGAACCGGCUAAAUACGUGCCAGCAGCCACGGUAAUACGUAUGGUGCAAGCGUUAUCCGGAUUUACUGGGUGUAAAGGGAGCGCAGGCGGCACGGCAAGCCUGAUGUGAAAGCCCGCGGCCCAACCGCGGGACUGCAGUGGAAACUACCGGGCUGGAGUGCGGGAGAGGUAGGCGGAAUUCCUAGUGUAGCAGUGAAAUGCGUAGAUAUUAGGAGGAACACCAGUGGCGAAGGCGGCCUACUGGACCAUAACUGACGCUGAGGCGCGAAAGCGUGGGGAGCAAACAGGAUUAGAUACCCGUGUAGUC
rnacentral:rRNA from 1 species